CAGGCACGAGUGGAUGAAGCCCAGCAUCCAGGGCUGCUGCAGGGGCCCUGUGCUGGCCAAACCAACACAGUCAGAGCAAAUCUCCUGUCCUGCAGUGGCAUCAGGCAUGACACAGGCCCUGCCUUCGCCGCGUGACACUGGCACCAUCCCUCUGACAGCCUCCUGGCUUGGUCCAGGGGGCCCAAAUAGCCAAAGUGAGGGUCACGAGCACCCAAAAGCAUCCCGGGCAUGUGUGCGGGGUGGCUGCAGCCCAGUGGGGUAAGGAAGUGGUCAGGGCAGCGCCGUGUCCUCCAGGGGGUUUGCUCGGCCCCAUGGGGUUGGUGUCGGUGAGCAUCCCGCCGGGGUGCUGCAGAGCCAGGCGUGUAACCUUCAGAUCGGCCAAGUGUAGUAAGUUAAUGAUUAGAUUUAUCAUAAAGCAAUCUAAUGAGGAGCAAUAUAGCCAAGCACUUCCCAUUCAGUGACGCACAUCCAAAUCUUAAUAGAAACUGACAGCCUGACCCUGUUACCGUGCUCUGGCCAAAUAAAAUCAGCCUGAUAGUUCCCUGGAGAAAGCAGCCACGGCUUUAAUAUGUCUUCUCAAAACAUUUAUCUGACCGGCUUUAAAAAGAAGAAACCUGCAGUGACUCGGAGUUGGUUUACAUGACCUCCCCUCGCCGCAGCUUUCCCAGCUCGGUGCCACGUGGAAAGCAGCGUCCCCGUCCUGCCCCGUCCUGCCCAAGACCCAGGCCCUGCAGCUCUGGCGCCCGGUGGAGGUGUGAACAUACCGUGAAUAUUAACAGGAAUAAUUGGAGGUAUUUGGGAGCUUCGGGUAUGCGAUUUUCUGCAGGUGACAUUUUACUACCCGAGCUCUUGCAGGGCUGAGUCUCUGAUCUAAGCCUUCCGCUGUGCUGUCCCUCUGCAGUUUAAAAGGGAAACAGCAUGUUUUGUACUCAGUUCCUAGUGCCAGCCUCUGUCCCUCUCGCAGACUCUAUUUAAAAUCUGAGCAUGUCUGAGCAUCUCAGAAAUCAUUGCAUCUCGAGCAAAAGCUCAAACCUUUUAUAUGCGACAGGACUGGGAAAAAGUCUGGUCUUUCCAAGCCCAAGUUUUAUCCUGACCACCACCACGUGUUCACACCUUCACGUGUUUCCAGCCCUGUUCCAGCGCUGUUUUUGAUAUCCACCACCUGAUUGUUGUAGACGCAGGAACCGUGGUGGAAGGAGGCACCAAGCCAGGAGCUGGAGGUCCCAUCUGCAGGCCUGGCACCAGCUGCAGCCUCUCGCAGGGCUGGUGCAGAGGGAAAUCUUCUAGGAACAGCUUCAAGGCUUGAAGGCGUCAGUCCUGGCUGCCAUCCCUGCCGUGGGAGUGCCACAGGUUUUUUCUGACCCGUCCAGGGUAGCAUCAGCUGGUAUCCAAAGCCUCAGGGGCAGCUGCAAGAAGUCCUGCAGCCCGUGCCCAGGAUGCUCCUGGACAUUUUCUCCAAAAUAGAUGUUCUCCCCUUGGGAAGUCUUCUCUGGCGUGGUGAUUUACAGGCAGAAGAGGCAGACUGGUUUCUGGUGCUCAUGUGCUGUUACUCAGCAGUCCCUCCCCAUUUGCACUGAGUGUAUUUCAUGGGAUAAAUAACAGAAAUACCCAGGGUCAGCCCAGCCGUUGUUUGAUCCCCCAAGUCCCUGCCCUUGCCCACAUCAUGUGACGUUGAGUUCCCCAAGGCGAAUUGUGUGAAAAGAUGCCUUUUUUUUCCCAUCACUUCUGAAUUUACUGUCUCUUCAUUUUCGCUGAAUGCCCUGUUGUUUGCAGAGCGUGAAUACAAGCUCUGUGCACGGAACCAGGAUGGCCCCAAAUGCUGGGCACCAGCGGACCUCAAAGCCGCCUUUUCUUGAACGCGCUGACUUUCAGAGGAGCCCUCCGAGGCAGGGCAAUUACCCCGGCUUUGUGCAACAACCUUGAUCCAGGAGAUGGCCCAAGAGGAAGAUGGGGACAGAGGGAUGGAGAGACCCACUUGGAGGGGGGAGGGAAGCCAGCCAGCUCUGGUCAGAAGAGCUCUGAGCCCCUCUUUGUGUCACAGGACUCACGCAGCAGUGACCACGUCCUCGUGUGAGCCCAGGAGCUGUGCAAGCAGCCUGGGGAACCGGGCAAAGCGGGGGCUGGAGGUGGCUGUGCAGAUGCUCAGAAAAUUGUCCACAUGUGGCACUAUAGGUCUCCCUUCGUGGUUUUAUAGUCAUGGCAGGCAUUGCAUUUCCUCGUGCUGCAAAGCAAGCUGAAAGCAACCUGUCCCUCUGUACCUUGUGCUGACCCCACGAGGACCUGCCAAAAUCCACCCACCCCACGUGCCGGGAGCGGCUGUCCCCAUGCGCUGCCAGCUGCGAGCAAGCACCCUCAAGAGCAGAACCUGCUUUGACGGCCACCAGGCUGAGAGGUGUUUCGCAGCCCCCUGUAAACAGACACAGCUGAUUUGUUUCUUAAUUGCUUGUCCAUGGGAGCUGUGAGGCUUCAUCUCUGUGGGGUGGGAGCUGGGAGCUUUGCUCUGUUUGAUUGCGUGCUCUGCUGCCCCAGCUUCAAAGAUCUCUUUGCUUUUCCCUCCCUUUCAUGUCCCAUCCCUUGAAGUCUCUCUCCUGCAUGAAGGCACAAACCCAGGAUGGCUGAAGGGACCCGAAUGCAAUUACUUAGCGGAGUGUUUCAAUAAAUUAGCAGCUCGUUUCUUUGCCAGGCAGCACUUACUCUUCAGUUGGCCUGUGUCUGCGCAGCCGACAGCGUGCGAUGGGCUCCUGGACUUGGGGAUGUCGGCUGGGGCAGGUGGAGCUGGCAUACUUAGCCCCGAUCACGUCCUCAGGCCUGGAUGUGACUCUGUGGAGGAUUUUGCCCAGUUCCAUCUCCAUUUGCAACUGCAACCAUUUGGAUUUUGCAAGGUAAAGAGCAGCAGUUCUCCCAGCGGGCUGUCCCUGUGAAAUGGGAGUGCAAAAUACCAGCACCCAGAGCUGCUGCUGGGGAAGUACUUCACCUGCCUUGGACUGGGGAGCUGCAAGCACUUUGAUAAAUGGAUUGCCUUUCCUGGAACGAUGUCCCAGCAUCAGCUAAUCGGGAUCUUCCAGCUCCUCCGUGCAACUGCCAAAGCACCACUCCUGUAAAUCAAGGAUGGCAAGGAGAAAACCCCACCAGCACCUGGCAGUGCCUGGAAAAGGCUCGUCUCCUUCCUCAGGAGGGGAACCAGCCCCGUCUCUGCUAAUUAGCUGCUUCCCCCAUCUUCUCCGUUUGGGGGUGACCAGGGGGGAUAUUCCCUGACAAGGGCUGUGUCACCAGAGAGGUGGCAUCCUUCCAGAGGCAGCUUGGGGAUGCACCUACAAAAAAUGUCUCAAUGUUGCCAUGGAGAAGCUGGCUGGAGGCCACCACGAAGCAGCACCUGGGUGAGAGGGGACCGUGGCCCCAGGGAGAUGCCACCAUGGGGCUUCCCACCCACCUGGGGUGCCCCCCGGUAGGGCUGCCCUGCAGGAUGGGGCUUGGCUAGUAGGGCUGUGAAUGGGGUCCAAGCCCUGCCAAGGGUUCCACACACACAAUUUCUUUUUUUUUUUUUUUAAAGAGAAAUUCUCUCCUUUGUCGCUUGAUGAAAACGUUUCAGGCCUUUUGGGUUUUUCCCGGUGAUUAAGUCUAAUGAGAAGAGACAGCAGAGGAUUUAUUAGUGUCUGCCUGCUGAUUCCAGCCUAGCCCCUGUUGUGGCAGAGGACCUGAUGCUGUUAUUCCCAAGCACGGGCUCCUCGCAAAGCGACCACGGCUCUCUCAUCACAGCAGCCCCAUGGCCAAGCCCCUUCCCCGCUGCCCAGCGUGUCCAGCGGAGCCCGAGUGGGAGAAACAAAGCGGCGGCAGAAAUUGGGAUGGAGGAAAACAUUAUCUGAACCUUGAUGGCAUUGCCAUGGUAACGGGGGAAACUGUGCCACUCUGCCCGCCGCGACGGGUCCCCCCUCCAGCACCUGGGGCUGGGCAGCGAGGGCCCUGCCCUGCUGCAGUGGAUGUAGCGACGCUGCGCUGUAAUUACCGGGAGCUCUCCCCGCAGCCGUGUGAGAGGCACUGCUGGAAAGCCUGCAAAAAUAAACCGAGGUUAAAAAUAGCCCCACGCGUGCCUGCUUUCUAGGCGAAACGAGGGGAAUUUUGACAUGAAGCAGAGCGGAAUCUACCCUCUGGAUGCCAGCCUGUCCCUGGUCUGUUACAGCCCCUGGAAGAUGGGCAGGGGGGGCUGUCAGUGGAAGCAAGGAGCUGCUCUGCGUGUGCCGAUGCCCGUGGUGCAGAGACACCCAGGGCAGCUCGUGAGCCCAGCCUUGGGCACGGUCUGCUCGCAUCCUGCUGCAGGCAGCUGUGGGCUGAGCUUUGAAAUCCAGCAAACGCUGCUGCUCUGUCCUGAAUGCAGAUGGGGUUUCAGCUCGCCCAAACAGGGCAGGGAGAAAAAACGGCUGUAGAGCUGAGGCGCUGGGGUGGUUUCUUGGGAGUUUCCCCUAGGAAGAUGCCUAGUCUGGAUUACAGAUCUCACAGGAUAGGGACUCCACCUCAGCCCUUGCUAAUUCAUAAAAUAUGUAAAUGCGCUUCUCCCCUCCGCAUCGCUUCUUCCCUCUUUUGCAAUUCCUCAUCGCUGCUGUAACCUUCCUUUCUGCCCAGCCGAGCUGCCUGUGCUUGAGCAACACUCCUGGCCUGACCUAACUUUUUUCAAAUGCAAAAGGAAGCAGAAGAACUCAUCCUUAAUUGCACCAAUGGGAAAAGCAAACCGUAAUGGCAUUUUCAUGGAAGCACGAGCCCACCUCGAUCUGCACGCUGCGCCAGGAGGCCAGGGCACUGGAGACUUCACCUGGGCUGUGGGAGUAAGUAUGGGGCAUGGCUCCUCUCUGCCAUCUGGCACAGCACAGCACGGCAUGCCACAGUCCCUCUAGGUGCAGGUGGGCUGGGGGUGAGAUUAGGGGAAGGGCUGAGUGUCCCGAAUUGCAGGCUUCCCCAGUGUAGGCUGUGGAGGGGCUCCUCUUGCACUGGGUGUGAUGCAGGUGCCUCCAACUUCCUCAAAGCUGCUUGAUUGCCAUUGAGAAAUUAAUGGGAGUUAAUUGGUUGUGUUGGACCUGGGGGAGCAGUUGAUCUCUAAAUGCCAUGGAGUUUAGGAUAAUGAUGUGUUAAAAGUACAGGAUGCAAAUAAUCCUAGAACCAUAGGAUGUGCCCACAGUCCAGAUCCAAUGGCAGGCACGGGGUCUCUCAGUACCCAGUUACCCACCACCAUACCCCUCAAAGGAGAAGGCUUCCCAGUAAAUACAAGGGACAGUGAGCUGCCUGGGACUUGCUGCAGAAGCUGGAGGGGAUGAGCAGCAAAAACUGCGUGUGACCAAGCUAUUGAAGUUCAUCUGCACUCUGUUUCAGCAGAAACAGGGGCAGCAGUGGGAAGGCAGAGAUGGGCUGAUUUAUAAGAAAUCAAUUUAUUACAUUCCUUAUCUUAUCCUCCCAGAUCCUCUUCAUUUCCUGUGUCCAGACAGAAAGGAAAGCAAACCAGGGAGAGCAAGCUAAUAGUACACAAGCAGCCCUUUCUGAUGGCUUCCACAGGCUGAGGAGGCCAGAGCAGACUGCUUUUCUAACGAUGGCCUUUGUCCAGAUGGGUCCCAGACAAAUUAAUGUGUGAAAGCCAAAAGGGGCUGUGAUUAGAUCUGGUCCUUCUGCAUGCCACAGCCUGCAGCUUCUCAUCCCUUUACAGGCCCUCUCGAGCUGGGCUGUGCUGAGCUCUGUGGAGCUAUUUGAGGAACUCAGCCCGCAUCUCCCUCUUCAUCCUUUUGAGUGCAGAACCCCAGAGGAAUCGCGGCUCUGGGGGCUAGACCCUGCACAGGUCUGAGAUUUUAGCAGUGUGACCACAGAGCUGGGCAGGCAGGGCUGUCUGCACCAGAGCUGGCUGCUCUGAGUCACAUUGCUCAUCUGCUUUAGGAAGAGAACAAGCUGGAAGUACCUAGUUCGUGAUUCUGUGAUGUCUGUCCCUCGAGGGAGUCUGGGGGAUUGGGGGACUUGGCAAGAUGGACCUGGCCGUCAGGCUCUGCUUGGGAAAGAGUCAAUGCACAUGAAUGAGAAAAGGGAAGAUGUGUCCUCAGGCCCGCCUUGCAGACACAAUGGAAAAGGCAGGACAGAGUCCAGCAAGACCCUAGGUAUCUGCAUCCAUGACCACUCUUCACCUCAUUCCUCUUUUGUCUCCAAAUUAAACAAAAACAAAACAAACAGAAACCCACAAAAAAGCCACAACUUGUCCUUUGUCCUUUGCCCCUGACCCAGCCACGUAGUCAGAAGAGACACCAGUGUGUAAAUGUCAGUGCUUGCUUCAUCUCCAGCUCUGUCUUCCACAUCAACUCCCUGGUCUACCAAAAGUGCCGCAGAGCAUAUGGAACCAGUAAUGCUUUCCAGGACACAUUCAGUAGGAAUGUUUGAUGACUAUGGGAACAUUUUAAUGGGACCAGAGAUAGCCUAGGCUUCCCUCCCCAUUUCUUGCCCCCCCCAUUUUUUCCUAAAAAAAAAACCAGUCUGCUAACUGGGAACCAGCAUGGUCUAUAGAAAACAGGGAAGAAACAUUACUCAGUUACAUUAUCCAGGCUUCUUGUCCAUGACAUGCAGAGAUGAAGAGAAGCUGAAGUCAUGGUUGCCCUUGGCAUGGUCUGUAACCCAAUGGAAGUUUAUUCAACCUUGCUGGAGUCUGAAUCCAAGAUUUCCUCUUCAGAUCUGUUCUUUAUGGGCUUGGUAAUGUUUUAGGAGCUCAAUAAAAACCAAUCCUUUAAAAUGAAGCAGAAGAAAAAUGGUCAUUACAACACAUUCCUUUCCAGGCUGGCACAUGUUAGAAAUGCUCUUAAUUAGUAGCGCGAUGGGAAGGAAAAUGAAAGGAACUUCUGCUAGAGCAAGAUCAUGGACAGAUGUAGAGGAGGAGCCCCGUGAAGGAAGGUGUCCCCAAAGUCUCUCCCACCACACAGCCUCCAAACUGUUCCCAGGAGAGGACUGUGGGGCCACCCCCUGGCUCGAUCAGCCCCCCGCUGAUCCAAGCUGUGGUGGGAUGGGACGGGACGGUUCGGUGGUGCCAGCGUGGGAGCGUAGGAUGAGGAAAGGAUGCGGGCAGACAGCCUUGAUUUAAAUGGAGAAGCUCUGCGGAUCUGCUGGUGAAUCUGCCAGGCUCGCCUGCCUAAUGAAAGGCAUGUUUCAGUUUCUGGCUGGAAAUAUCUCCUUGACUGGGUGCAAUGGGAUUCUGCAGAAGGAGAAGAUUCAAACAGCAUUGAGAACACAGCACCCCUCAGCACACUGACCCCUCCAAGCUCCUGCUCAAGGCUCUUUGAGGAGGUUUACAAGACCAUCUACCAGGGCAGCCUGCAAAUGUAGGCUGGAAAGGUGCUCCCUGUCUCUGCUCUGUCUUACGUGGGCAAAUGAAGGAGGAGAAAUGGGGAAAAGAGCCCUUUGGCACCUUCUCAUUCCCGGACUUUUAUUAGCACAAACUUCCCUCCCAGUGCAAAACACAGUUUUCUGUGUGUCGUCUCUGUUUUGUUUGCUUGGAGAGAGCAUUGGCACACGCUCCAGGAAAUUAGCUCUUAACUAAAAGCAUUUAUGUAAUUGGGGAGGGAGGGGGAGGUGUGUGUGCACUGACUUUGGGGAAGUUCAGUCUACAAAAACAAACCUUGCUAACUACACUUGGUUCUGAUUAAGGGAGAUAAAUCUGUCAGUGAGGCUAAAUUUACCGAGAGUGUAACCUCCCGCCCCUCGCCCCACCAGCGAUGGUCAGGCUGCA